rnacentral:lncRNA from 1 species
UUCAACCAUUUGAACUGAAUAAUGUUAAGAACAGUUUUUAAACGGUUAGAGAUAAUAUAUAUUUUAAACAUAAUAAUAUUUUAAUCAUUACAGAUAAUAAAUAUUUUAAAUAUAAUUUUAUAUAUAAAAAUUAAAAAAGUUAAGAUAAGUGGUUUAAAAAAAAAGCAAUAGUUAGCAAUAUCAAUAGGUUAGAUUUGGAACAGGUUUUCAAAAAUUCGAAUCCGAAAUUGAUUAUCAAUCUCAAAAUUCAUAUCUGAAACCCCCGGCGUACUUUAAAAAUUCAUAUCCAAAUUAGAAAACUGAGCAAAAAUUCAAAAUCCAAACCCAAACUGAAAAAUCCAAAUUUGAAAUAAUAAUUUCUCUUUAUCAUAUUUUAAAAUAUAUUAUAUUUAAAUAUUAAUUUUUAAAAUAUAAAUUCAAAUAUUAUAUUAAAAAAGAUAUAUAUACAUUAUAUAAUAUAAAAUUAAUUAGGAUUUGG